rnacentral:rRNA from 1 species
CUGAACCAGCCAAGUAGCGUGAAGGAUGAAGGUCCUACGGAUUGUAAACUUCUUUUAUACGGGAAUAAAGUAUCCUACGUGUAGGAUUUUGUAUGUACCGUAUGAAUAAGCAUCGGCUAACUCCGUGCCAGCAGCCGCGGUAAUACGGAGGAUGCGAGCGUUAUCCGGAUUUAUUGGGUUUAAAGGGUGCGCAGACGGGAGAUUAAGUCAGUUGUGAAAGUUUGCGG